UCACUUUCAGCCUGACACCUUCAGAUCCUUGACAACAUGACGCAUAAUAUGACAUUUUAAUGUCAUGAAAGUACAGAUCCUGCAGAUGACAGCUCAGUGACAGACUAAUGUCACUCAGCAGCACAUAUUACAGGCCGUCAGCAAACUAAACCGACAAAAACUGCGAUAAAGAGCAAGAUUCGAAAUGACAGUGAGGGCGGAUCUGAGAGUCGCGCGAGCAGAGAAUGAUGCCGCACGUGGGUUUGUUGUGUUUUCUUCUGCUCCUCUCUCACCUGCGCUCAACACCUGCCGCUUCCUCCGGACACUUCUUAGAUGGAUUAAGAACUUAAAUAAAGACCUUCCUCACCAUGAUGCUGCUCUCUGUUGUGACGCACCUGGAAUAUGAAUCAUCAGCAGACGUCCGCUGCCUGAUUGCAGCCACAAUCACGUCACCUGCCUUCACCGAAGGACCGAGAGCCCAGACCCGACACAAAUCUGACCGACAACAGUUACUGACAGCAGGCUACACAACAGUGAGGUGGCCGCCCUCACAGCCAGUU